rnacentral:rRNA from 1 species
UACGGCGAGUGAAGCGGCAAAAGCUCAAAUUUGAAAUCCUUCGGGAAUUGUAUUUUGAAGGUGGGUUUGGUUAGGAAAAGUUACUUUAAGUCCAUUGGAAAAUGGCGCCAUGGAGGGUGAUAGCCCCGUAAAAGUAUCCCUUUUCCUUUUAUCCAUUCCCUCCAAAGAGUCGAGUUGUUUGGGAAUGCAGCUCUAAGUGGGUGGUAAAUUCCAUCUAAAGCUAAAUAUUGGCGAGAGACCGAUAGCGAACAAGUACAGUGAUGGAAAGAUGAAAAGCACUUUGAAAAGAGAGUGAAAAAGUACGUGAAAUUGUUGAAAGGGAAGGGCUUGCAAGCAGACACAACCUCGGUUGGGCCAGCAUCGGAGUGGGGGGAGACAAAAAAGAAAAGGAAUGUAACUCUUUGAAG